CCGAGCGUUAUCCNGNAUUUAUNGGGUUNAAAGGGGUGCGUAGGCGGCCUUUUAAGUCAGCGGUGAAAGUCUGUGGCUCAACCCAUAGAAUUGCCGUUGAAACUGGGGGGCUUGAGUAUGUUUGAGGCAGGCGGAAUGCGUGGUGUAGCGGUGAAAUGCUUAGAUAUCACGCAGAACCCCGAUUGCGAAGGCAGCCUGCCAAGCCAUGACUGACGCUGAUGCACGAAAGCGUGGGGAUCAAACAGGAUUAGAUACCCUGGUAGUCCACGCAGUAAACGAUGAUCACUAGCUGUUUGCGAUACAGUGUAAGCGGCACAGCGAAAGCGUUAAGUGAUCCACCUGGGGAGUACGCCGGCAACGGUGAAACUCAAAGGAAUUGACGGGGGCCCGCACAAGCGGAGGAACAUGUGGUUUAAUUCGAUGAUACGCGAGGAACCUUACCCGGGUUUGAACGCAUUCGGACCGAGGUGGAAACACCUUUUCUAGCAAUAGCCGUUUGCGAGGUGCUGCAUGGUUGUCGUCAGCUCGUGCCGUGAGGUGUCGGCUUAAGUGCCAUAACGAGCGCAACCCUUGCCACUAGUUACUAACAGGUAAAGCUGAGGACUCUGGUGGGACUGCCAGCGUAAGCUGCGAGGAAGGCAGGGAUGACGUCAAAUCAGCACGGCCCUUACAUCCGGGGCGACACACGUGUUACAAUGGCGUGGACAAAGGGAAGCCACCUGGCGACAGGGAGCGAAUCCCCAAACCACGUCUCAGUUCGGAUCGGAGUCUGCAACCCGACUCCGUGAAGCUGGAUUCGCUAGUAAUCGCGCAUCAGCCAUGGCGCGGUGAAUACGUUCCCGGGCCUUGUACACACCGCCCGUCAAGCCAUGGGAGCCGGGGGUACCUGAAGUCCGUAACCGAAAGGAUCGGCCUAGGGUAAAACUGGUGACUGGGGCUAAGUCGUAACAAGGUAGCAAUCACUAGUGAAUUCGCGGCCGCCUGCAGGUCGACCAUAUGGGAGAGCUCCCANNG
rnacentral:rRNA from 1 species